CAUGAGUCAAGUCAACAAUCUACUGGCAAAUGCUUUUCGGUCUUUGUCAUAUGAAGAUAAAUUAGAGAUAAAAUGUCUCUGUGCUCAUUGGCCUUUGGACAUAAACAUUACUCAAGUCAGAAAUCGCAAAUUCAACAAUGACUGGUUUGGAAGGGUGCAGUGGCGAACUGCUUCGAAAUGCUUUCAAUCAUUAUUUUGCUUCCCCUGCCUGCUUUUCAGUGGAGAGGGUGUGUGGUCUGGGAUUAAGGAUUUAAAACGUCUGUAUGAAAAGGGUCUGAAUACAUGAGAAUUGUGCAUCAGAUAUAACGCUGUUAAACUGGUAUUACUGGGGAAAUCAAACGUUGUGGCUCAGUUAGACAUAUAGAUGAGCCAUCAGCCUUCACAAUCAACAAAGGGAGAAGAAUAGGUCCAACUUCCUGAAGAUGAGGAAGUCAGCCAUGAUGAUCCAGAAGACGUGGCGAGGAUACCACUGUCGCAAGAACUAUGGAGCUAUGCGGGCAGGGUUCACCAGACUGCAGUCAUUGUAUCACUCCAGGCGGCUGUACAUAAUGUACCACGUGGCCAGACAGAGAGUGAUGGGUCUGCAGGCCAGGUGUAGAGGCUGUCUGGUCAGAAGGGCCUUCAGACACCGCCCCUGGGCCAUCAUCACCAUCCAGGCUCACACACGGGGCAUGAUCGCACGAGGCCUCUACAAGAGACUGAAGGGAGAGGAGGUGGGAGGCAGAGAAGCUGCGUCUGGCUGAGGAGAAACUGACGAACCAGAUGAGCGCUAAGAAGGCAAAGGUCUGGAACACACACACAUACAGGCGUCAUGCACCCCAAAGAUCAGAGGGGGCACAAAGUACAUGAGGAUGGUUAGGGAUGGUCCGUAGGGGGGCCAGGCCCUGCAAUCUAGAGCCAUAAUCAUUAUGCUUAAUUCUAUGUCAAGAAAUAUGUCCAUUUUUCUGCAUAUCUAAGCAUACCUCUUGAGCUGUCUGUCUCCUCCUGACUGGUGGUUCUGAAUUAAAAAGAAACUAAAUAUGCUUCUCUGCAUCUUCUGCUAAAAUCUGGGUAAAAUAUUGAGUACAUUUAGUUAUUGCUAGCUUUUCUAAAGUCUACCAACCUUGCCAGCAGGCAUGCCAGCUAAGAUACUUAGAAAAGAUAGCUACUCUACCUUGAUAGCCUGAAAUGGCUCCAUCAUAAAAUUACUAGCUGGCUAGUAGUAUUACAGAAAAAUAACAACUGUUUUUAGGACAAAUCUGAGGGGGCAUACACACACACACACCAACACAGACACAGACACAGACACAGACACAGACACACACACACACACACACAGACACAGACACAGACACAGACACACACACACACACACACACUCUUCUGUAGGUAGAAGCAUAGCGUAACCACCAGGGGAGACUGGCCCAGCUAGCGAAGGAUGACACGGAGAGGGAGAAGAGAGAGAGGGAGGAGGUGCGGAAGGAGAUGGUGGAGCAGAUGGAGAAUGCAGCACAUGAGCCGGUGAACAACUCUGACAUGGUGGAUAAGAUGUUCAGCUUUCUGGGAACAACAAACUCCUUCCCUGGCCAGGAGGGAGCACCACCAGCUGGGUUCUAGGACUUGGAGCGUGCCCAGAAGGAGCUUGAGGAGGAUGAUUUAGACGCUGUUCUUCCUCUCCCUGAGGAUGAGGAGGAUGAUCUGUCAGAGUAUACGUUUGCCAAAUUCGCUGCCACCUAUUUCCAGGGCAACACCACACACACCUAUGGCCGACGGCCGCUCAAACAACCUCUGCUGUUCCAUGACGACGAGGGCGACCACAUGACCUCUCAACUCUGACCAACGUGACCUCUAACCCCAGUAGACCAUACAGCAACAAGAAGAACAGUGUCCGACACAAACUAGUGUCCCUCACCCUGAAGAAGAAGUCCAAGAUCACUGAGGAGGCCACUAAGUCUAAGAAGCCCAUCAUGUUGCCAGUAACCUUUAUGGACGGCACCACUAAGACGUUGUUGACAGACUCAGCUAGUAACGCCAUGGAGCUGUGUAACGACAUGGAGCAGUGUAACGCCCUGGCAGACAAAAAUCAGCCUCAGAGAUCGCUUUGGAUUCUCUCUCUACAUUGCCCUGUUUGACAAGGUCUCCUCCUGAGGCAGUGGAAAGGACCAGGGUGCCCAGGAGCAGUAUGCCCAGGAGCAGUAUGCCCAGGAGCAGGGUGCCCAGGUGCAGGGUGCCCAGGAGCAGUAUGCCCAGGAGCAGGGUGCCCAGGAGCAGGGUGCCAAGGAGCAAGGUGCCAAGGAGCAAGGUGCCCAGGAGCAGUAUGCCAAUGAGCCGUAUGCCAAGGAGCAGGGUGCC